rnacentral:misc_RNA from 1 species
GUGCGAACGUCAUAAAUGAUCUUACCAAACACAUGUGGCACCUUGCACCCGCUGAAAGAACAUAAUGUUGUUGUUUGGGGGUUUAUUCUUGCAACUCUGCUGCUAGUCCUGCUAGUUUGCUUGUAUAUCAAGUUACAGAAGAGGUAGAAUUGUUGUAGUGAUUGUAGAUUACAGCUAGAAUACUGGACAUUCUUACUGAUCAAAUUUUUGUAGUGCAUAUCAGAUAAUUGCCGAUUAGUUCUCAUGUUACUUUGCACUUUGGAUGAGCUUUUGGUAAAU